rnacentral:lncRNA from 1 species
AUGGAGUUUGGUUUGGACAAAUGUUCGACAGUGGCAUUGAAGAAGGGAAAAAUCAUUAAAAGUGAGGGCAUAAAUAUGCCCAAUGGCCAAACAAUAAAGUGUCACCAGCCAGAGGCCUAUAAAUAUCUGGGCAUAUUACAGCUGGACAACAUCAAGCAUGAACAUGUGAAAACUGUGGUCAGCAAAGAAUACACACAAAGGGUCAGAAAAAUUCUCAAAAGCAAGCUCAAUGGAGGCAACACCAUCAAGGCCAUAAACACCUGGGCCAUACCUGUCAUAAGAUAUACUGCUGGCAUCAUAAACUGGACACAGAUAGAACUGGACAAUUUGGACAGAAAAACAAGAAAACUCAUGACCAUUCAUCAUUCACUGCACCCUCGCAGUGAUGUUGACCGGCUAUAUCUGCCUAGAAGAUCAGGGGGCAGAGGACUCCUACAAGUAAAACAAGCAGUCAAAGAAGAAGAACAUGCCCUGGCAGAAUAUGUAAAGCAAAGUGAAGAACCUGCUUUGAUUGAAGUCAAAAAUCAGAAAUUCCUCAAAGCACAGCAGACAAAAAACCAGUACAAGAAAACCACACUACAAACUAGAGCUGACAACUGGCACAACAAAACAUUGCAUGGAAAGUUCCUUGACAAAAUUGAAGGAAAAGCUGAUAAGGAGAAGACCUGGCUCUGGCUCUGGCUCACAAAUGGGACCCUGAAGAAGGAGACAGAAGGCCUGAUCCUUGCAGCCCAGGAGCAAGCCAUCAGGCCAAAUGCAAUUAAGGCCAAGAUCAAAAAAUCAGCUGAUGACCCAAAAUGCAGACUGUGCAAGGAAACAGAUGAAACCAUUGAUCAUAUCCUCAGCUGCUGUAAGAAAAUUGCACAGACAGACUACAAACAGAGGCACAACUAUGUGGCCCAAAUGAUUCAUUGGAACUUAUGCCUCAAGUACCACCUGCCAGCAGCAAAGAACUGGUGGGAUCACAAACCUGCAAAAGUAUUGGAAAAUGAGCACGCAAAUAUACUGUGGGACUUCCGAAUCCAGACUGACAAAGUUCUGGAACACAAUACACCAGACAUCACAGUUGUGGAAAAGAACAAGGUUUGGAUCAUUGAUGUUGCCAUCCCAGGUGACAGUCGCAUUGACGAAAAACAACAGGAAAAACUCAGCCACUAUCAGGACCUCAAGAUUGAACUGCAAAGACUCUGGCAGAAACCAGUGCAGGUGGUCCCGGUGGUGAUGGGCACACUGGGUGCAGUGCCGAAAGAUCUCAGCCGGCAUUUGGAAACAACAGACAUUGACAAAAUCACGAUCUGCCAACUGCAAAAAGCCACCCUGCUGGGAUCUGCACGCAUCAUCCGAAAAUACAUCACACAGUCCUAG